GAAUUUUCGAGAGAUUCGCUCCCCGUUCGUUCGCUGGCGGGGCUAGAAGAUGGACCCGUGCAGAGGGAACUCGGGAGUGCCUCGACAAACAGGUUCAGGCUCUCCCCUCCCUAGUAGAGAACACCCAGAUGCUGAUGUGCCGUACCGAAUCGUUCGCAGACGACUUACGUACCGGUCAGGGUGCUGUUGGCGGCAGAGCAGCACCCUCACUGCGAUCCGUUAAGACUCCUCCCUAACAAGGCUGGAGGUUUCGU